rnacentral:rRNA from 1 species
UGGGGAAUAUUGGACAAUGGGCGAAAGCCUGAUCCAGCAACGCCGCGUGAGGGAUGACGGCCUUCGGGUUGUAAACCUCUUUCAGUAGGGACGAAGCGAAAGUGACGGUACCUACAGAAGAAGGACCGGCCAACUACGUGCCAGCAGCCGCGGUAAUACGUAGGGUCCGAGCGUUGUCCGGAAUUAUUGGGCGUAAAGGGCUCGUAGGCGGUCCGUCACGUCGGGAGUGAAAACUCAGGGCUCAACCCUGAGCGUGCUUCCGAUACGGGCGGACUAGAGGUAUGCAGGGGAGAACGGAAUUCCUGGUGUAGCGGUGGAAUGCGCAGAUAUCAGGAGGAACACCGGUGGCGAAGGCGGUUCUCUGGGCAUUACCUGACGCUGAGGAGCGAAAGCAUGGGGAGCGAACAG